AAAAUCACAAUUAAUCAUGGAUUAAAGUAUUUUAGCUUAAGUAUUUUAUUAAUGGUAAGAUUAGCAUAAAUAUUUGUUUAAUUUGGUUUAAUUGAAAAACAGAUUAGUAAACGUGUGAUUAAUUAGGUUAUUUAGGCACUUGGAAUUUGUUAAUAGGUUGGUUUUAAGAAAAUAAAAACAAUUAGUGUUUGGUAAUUAAUUAGGGAAUAUUAAUAUGCAUUGUAAAUAUUGUUUAAUUUAAUUCAAAUUUGAUUUGAGAACUUGUAGGCAUGUAGAUUAGAGAAUAUUAUAAUUAAAAAAUUAGCAAAAUUAAAUUGUAUAAAUUUU
rnacentral:lncRNA from 1 species